rnacentral:misc_RNA from 1 species
GCGGAUGUCUGCCAUGCUUAUCAGCUGUUGAAGAAAGGAGGAUUGAAGGAUGAGAAUAUUGUGGUGUUUAUGUAUGAUGAUAUUGCCACAAAUGUUCUGAAUCCAAGGCCUGGAAUCAUUAUUAACCACCCACAAGGAGAGGAUGUUUAUGCUGGCGUCCCCAAGGAUUACACUGGGGAGCAUGUGACUGCUCAGAAUCUGUAUGCUGUGCUUCUGGGAAAUAAAACUGCUGUUAAUGGAGGGAGUGGGAAAGUUGUGGACAGCAAACCAAAUGACAGGAUUUUUGUUUACUAUUCUGAUCAUGGAGGCCCU